GAGACAGCAGUCGCCGCGGUAAUACGAAGGGGGCUAGCGUUGUUCGGAAUUACUGGGCGUAAAGCGUGCGUAGGCGGUGAGUUAAGUCUGCUGUGAAAUCCCCGGGCUCAACCUGGGAAUGGCAGUGGAUACUGGCUCGCUAGAGUGUGUCAGAGGAUGGUGGAAUUCCCGGUGUAGCGGUGAAAUGCGUAGAGAUCGGGAGGAACAUCAGUGGCGAAGGCGGCCAUCUAGGACAACACUGACGCUGAGGCACGAAAGCGUGGGGAGCAAACAGGAUUAGAUACCCGCGUAGUCCCUGUCUCUUAUAC
rnacentral:rRNA from 1 species